rnacentral:rRNA from 1 species
UACGUAGGGGGGCAAGCGUUUGUCCGGAAUCAUUGGGCGUAAAGAGCGUGUAGGCGGUCCGGUAAGUCGGCUGUGAAAGUCCAGGGCUCAACCCUGGGAUGCCGGCCGAUACUGUCAGGCUAGAGUCCGGAAGAGGCGAGUGGAAUUCCUGGUGUAGCGGUGAAAUGCGCAGAUAUCAGGAGGAACACCUAUGGCGAAGGCAGCUCGCUGGGACGGUAGCUGACGCUGAGACGCGAAAGCGUGGGGAGCGAACAGG